CACGGGUGAGUAACACGUAUCCAACCUGCCGUCUACUCCUGGACAGCCUCUGAAAGGAAGAUUAAUACAAGAUGGCAUCAUGAGUCCGCAUGUUCACAUGAUUAAAGGUAUUCCGGUAGACGAUGGGGAUGCGUUCCAUUAGAUAGUAGGCGGGGUAACGGCCCACCUAGUCUUCGAUGGAUAGGGGUUCUGAGAGGAAGGUCCCCCACAUUGGACUGAGACACGGCCAA
rnacentral:rRNA from 1 species